CUCUUGCUGGAAACUCUUUGUAGCCAACCUGGCUUGUGAUCCUGUGUCUUCAACCAUGCCCUGCCUAAUUAGAUCUCCGGUACCUUGACUUUGGACUCGUCUGUUCUCUCGGCUCUUCCUACCUGGAUCUACUUUACAGGAUUGUUGUGAGGACGAAAAGGCUAUAAAACACAUUGGCAAACUUAAAAUGCUAUCACAAAAAGUAGGACGGUGCAGAGGAUGGUUCAGGAGAUGGAUAUGGAGAAAAACAGUACAGGUGGAGACCACAUAACUUUUCUCCCAACAGAGAAGCAACAGUGUCAGUAGAGCCUCACUCUGAACCAAAGUACACCUGAAAACGACUCAAGGAAUCGAGAUAUCAAACCCAUUAUGUAGAAUGAGGCAGUAGGCUGUGGUGGCAAGACAGCAUUGUCUCCUUUCCUGAUGUGUUACUUUACUACAUACUUGUUAUAACAUGGUGGAGCAUUUAAUAAUAUGGCUUCCUCCACACAGAAUUCUGUCACGUCAGACUAUCGCCUGUGUUGUCUGAGCCAGGCCUGAUUCCUGGAACAUGUAGCAUAAUAACAAGGACAGUGUUUCUGAGGAAAUCACACACGGUGCCCUUUCUUCUCUGCUGAGCAAAUAGAAAGCAUUUUAUACAACUGGGAUUGGGACUGGGGUGUGCAAGAAAUUAUCGCCUUACAUGAGGCAACUGAAUCCCUGAAAAGGUUUUCAGCCUCUAAACAUUUUGUGCCAUUGAGUUAUUCUGAGGCUCUUUGGGGGCUUUCCCCCACUUAGGUUUGUUUUUUCUUCAGAUGUUUCUACUUGUGCAGAGCCUUGGAAGUUACCACAGGUCUGCCAAUACCUCUGUCUUGUGUGUGGGUGAUGCAGU